rnacentral:lncRNA from 1 species
CGAAACCCCUCUCCAAUCUGAGAUCCCCUCACGAGCCCGACCCGGAGCCGAAACCCUAGAGUAGAGCAGGAGCGGCGGCCAUGGCCAUCAUCUCGGACAUCCAGGAGGAGGAGGCGCCGCCGCCGCAGCAGCAGGCGGCCCCGGCGGCGGUCGACGUGGACCUGGAGGUCCUCGAGGCGGUGCUCGAGCGCAAGGGCGGCGCGCUCCCGUUCCUCCACGCGGCCAUCGACGUCGCGCACCGGCGCUCCGACCUCUUCCGCGACCCCUCCGCGGUCGGCAAGGUCACCGCGAUGGCCGCGGCGUGCAGGGCGCAGGUGGAGGCGGAGGAGAGGAAGGCCAGGGACGCCAAG